rnacentral:rRNA from 1 species
GGGCAGCAGUGAGGAAUUUUGCGCAAUGGGGGAAACCCUGACGCAGCAACGCCGCGUGAGUGAUGAAGGCCUUCGGGUCGUAAAGCUCUGUCAAGUGGGAAGAACCUGAUUAAUGAUAAUACCAUUAAUCACUGACGGUACCACUGAAGGAAGCACCGGCUAACUCCGUGCCAGCAGCCGCGGUAAUACGGAGGGUGCAAGCGUUAUUCGGAAUCAUUGGGCGUAAAGGGCGCGUAGGCGGUUUUUUAAGUCAGAUGUGAAAGCCCGGGGCUUAACCCCGGAAGUGCAUUUGAAACUGAAAGACUUGAGUAUGGGAGAGGGAAGUGGAAUUCCUGGUGUAGAGGUGAAAUUCGUAGAUAUCAGGAGGAACACCGGUGGCGAAGGCGACUUCCUGGACCAAUACUGACGCUGAGGCGCGAAGGCGUGGGUAGCAAACAGGAUUAGAUACCCUAGUAGUC